GGUGAACGCUGGCGGUAGGCCUAACACAUGCGAGUCGAACGGCAGCACAGUAAGAGCUUGCUCUUACGGGUGGCGAGUGGCGGACGGGUGAGGAAUACAUCGGAAUCUACUUUUUCGUGGGGGAUAACGUAGGGAAACUUACGCUAAUACCGCAUACGACCUACGGGUGAAAGCAGGGGAUCUUCGGACCUUGCGCGAUUGAAUGAGCCGAUGUCGGAUUAGCUAGUUGGCGGGGUAAAGGCCCACCAAGGCGACGAUCCGUAGCUGGUCUGAGAGGAUGAUCAGCCACACUGGAACUGAGACACGGUCCAGACUCCUACGGGAGGCAGCAGUGGGGAAUAUUGGACAAUGGGCGCAAGCCUGAUCCAGCCAUACCGCGUGGGUGAAGAAGGCCUUCGGGUUGUAAAGCCCUUUUGUUGGGAAAGAAAAGCAGCAGGUUAAUACCCCGCUGUUCUGACGGUACCCAAAGAAUAAGCACCGGCUAACUUCGU
rnacentral:rRNA from 1 species